GUAUCUGUAUACACAGGUUCAUGUGAACUGGUUCAUGUAUCUGUAUAUACAGGUUCAUGUGAACUGGUUAAUGUAUCUGUAUACACAGAUUCAUGUGAACUGGUGAAUGUAUCUGUAUAUACAGGUUCAUGUGAGCUGGUUAAUGUAUUUGUAUACACAAGUUCAUGUGAGCUGGUUAAAUGUAUCUGUAUACACAAGUUCAUGUGAGCUGGUUAAUGUAUCUGUAUACACAGGUUCAUGUGAACUGGUGAAUGUAUUUGUAUACACAGGUUCAUGUGAACUGGUUAAUGUAUCUGUAUACACAGGUUCAUGUGAACUGGUUAAUGUGUCUGUAUACACAGGUUCAUGUGAACUGGUUAAUGUGUCUGUAUACACAGGUUCAUGUGAACUGGUUAAUGUGUCUGUAUACACAGCUUCAUGUGAACUGGUUAAUGUGUCUGUAUACACGGGUUCAUGUGAACUGGUUAAUGUAUUUGUAUACACAAGUUCAUGUGAACU